GACGAACGCUGGCGGCGUGCCUAAUACAUGCAAGUAGAACGCUGAAGCUUGGUGCUUGCACCGAGCGGAUGAGUUGCGAACGGGUGAGUAACGCGUAGGUAACCUGCCUGGUAGCGGGGGAUAACUAUUGGAAACGAUAGCUAAUACCGCAUAAGAGUAGAUGUUGCAUGACAUUUGCUUAAAAGGUGCAAUUGCAUCACUACCAGAUGGACCCGCGUUGUAUUAGCUAGUUGGUGAGGUAACGGCUCACCAAGGCAACGAUACAUAGCCGACCUGAGAGGGUAAUCCGCCACACUGGGACUGAGACACGGCCCAGACUCCUACGGGAGGCAGCAGUAGGGAAUCUUCGGCAAUGGACGGAAGUCUGACCGAGCAACGCCGCGUGAGUGAAGAAGGUUUUCGGAUCGUAAAGCUCUGUUGUAAGAGAAGAACGAGUGUGAGAGUGGAAAGUUCACACUGUGACGGUAUCUUACCAGAAAGGGACGGCUAACUACGUG
rnacentral:rRNA from 1 species